AACGAACGCUGGCGGCAGGCCUAACACAUGCAAGUCGAGCGAAGCCUUCGGGCUUAGCGGCGGACGGGUGAGUAACGCGUGGGAACGUGCCCUUUGCUACGGAAUAGCCCCGGGAAACUGGGAGUAACACCGUAUGUGCCCUUCGGGGGAAAGAAUUAUCGGCGAAGGAUCGGCCCGCGUUGGAUUAGGUAGUUGGUGGGGUAAUGGCCUACCAAGCCGACGAUCCAUAGCUGGUUUGAGAGGAUGAUCAGCCACACUGGGAUUGAGACACGGCCCAGACUCCUACGGGAGGCAGCAGUGGGGAAUCUUAGACAAUGGGGGAAACCCUGAUCUAGCCAUGCCGCGUGAUCGAUGAAGGCCUUAGGGUUGUAAAGAUCUUUCAGUGGGGAAGAUAAUGACUGUACCCACAGAAGAAGCCCCGGCUAACUCCGUGCCAGCCGCCGCAGUAA
rnacentral:rRNA from 1 species